rnacentral:lncRNA from 1 species
CCUGGGAGCUGCCCUGCUGGUGGCUGACAGCGUGCACACGGCAACACACGGGUUCCGCUGUGACCAACUGUGUCGAGAGCGUGGAAGGCUGGAGGCGCGCACAGGCGAGGGGACAUCUGCGGGGCUCUCCUGGGCAGUGGUCCUCCAGUAAGUGUCCCGGACGGCACUCCACUCCUACAGAUAAGACACUGCUUUGUUCUCUCUCUGUUGCUCUCCCAUGAAAAUAUUUUUUGGUUAGAGAGGUGUACCCUUUAAAAAAAAGAAAAAGAGUUUAAGCUGGGGAUGUUACCCUAGUGAUAAAGUACUUGCCAGGAGUGCAUGAGGCUGUGGGUUCGAUCCCCAGCACUGCAAGGAAGGAAGGAAGGAAGGGAAAAGGAAAGGAAGGUGGGCAAGUGGGCACCCGUGAACACUGCGUGCCAGUCAGGGCCGUGUUACAUUUUAGCUGGGAGGCGAAGGUGAGCACAGAGCCCCGCGGGCUUGGCUCCUCUGGGACGUCCUGCAGCCCUUUCCUUCCGAGAGAGCUGGAGAAGUCUGACUGCUCCCCACCAGGCCUUUGCCUCAGCUUAGUGUGCAGAAGCCCCAGUUUUUAAGUGGCCUGCAGCUACUGAUGUUUUUAACUCACAGGCUUUGGUAGAAUGGACUGUGGAGGCGGCAGUGGCCCCAGGAGCGAGCCAGGCUUGGCCACGCCGCCUGGGGCUUACUUGGGUCAGACUGGGUGGGGCCUGUGGGCCUCGCUGACCUGCCUGAAGGUGCUGGAGGUGGCAGCAGAAGGAAAAUCCUACCGCACUUAAGAAGGGCGUGGGGCAGCCAGUUUACAGGUCGUAAUCAAUGAGAACUUGCCAGACAGAAGAAUAUGGAGAAAACCCAAUAAAUUAGCGUUUAAAAGUAAAGAGGAUAGCUUGACUACUUCUCAAAGAAAGCAGAGGGACUCUGAGUUCAUGCAACAAAGCAGAAGGCAGCUAAUGAGAAGAAGUCUAUGCAAACCGGAGAAAAAUAACGCCCAGCUCUGGGGACGUGGGUGCUGCUGCCGACUGGUGCAUCACAAGCUCCAAGAUCGGGAUUCCUUAGAAUGAACAAGCAUUACCUUCAUUAUAACUCAUCCUCAUAAAACCAUUUACCCCAACAAAAAAAAGAAUCACACAGCUGAACGGGACCUGGGAGACUUUCUAGGGCAGGGGUACAAGCAGAUGGCCUGCAGAGCAGGCAGGUCACCUCACCAGGCAGCCAGCCCAGCACAAGGGGGGCAGGAGUGGAGGCCAUGGCUCUGGGCAGUGCCCAGCUAGGAGAAGCAGCUGGCACACCAGGCAUCGCCAGGCAGGCAUGGGCGGGGACCGGGGAGACCUUCCCCUCUCGAGAAAAUGCCAAGCCCUGGAUGUGGAUG